CAGUAGCCGCGGUAAUACGAGGGGGGCAAGCGUUGUUCGGAAUUAUUGGGCGUAAAGGGUGCGUAGGCGGCUUGACAAGUCUUGUGUGAAAUCUAUGGGCUCAACCCAUAGUCUGCACGGGAAACUGUCGGGCUUGAGAAUGGGAGAGGUGAGUGGAAUUUCCGGUGUAGCGGUGAAAUGCGUAGAUAUCGGAAGGAACACCUGUGGCGAAAGCGGCUCACUGGACCAUUUCUGACGCUGAUGCACGAAAGCUAGGGGAGCAAACAGGAUUAGAUACCCGAGUAGUCCCUGUCUCUUAUAU
rnacentral:rRNA from 1 species